GGGUCGGUAGCUCAGUUGGUAGAGCAGUGGCCUUUUAAGCCAUUGGUCGUGGGUUCAAUCCCCACCCGACCCACCA
rnacentral:tRNA from 6 species